UUAUACACACCUUCCUCAGGCCAGCAAAGCAUCUAUUACUGCUGGCCUUUCCUCUUAGGACUGCAGUCAAAAGAGAAUUCCUAAGCUAAGCCAAGACACAGCGCAGAAAAAAAAAAUGUCUCCAGAAGUCUGCUGAACUGAUUGUCAGCUGCAGCAGUGACAACGCGGACCUAAGUCUGGUUCCCAGUAUCCAGGUCAGAUGGCACAGUGACUCAUAACCUCCAGUAACUCACAGCUCCACGGGAUCCGAUGUCUCCGACCUCUGUGGGUACCUGCACUCCUGUGACCACAAUCCUUACACAUAUAUAGCAUUUCUUAAAUGAAAUAAAUCAGAGAGUCAAGGUUAUUCUUGGCCGUGUAACGAGUUGGAGGCAAGCCCGGGCUAAUUAAAGCAUGUCUCAAGAAAAGAAGAGGGAGGCUGGCUGGAGAAGACUUGCUAUUAUGAGAAGGACCCAGAUUGGGUUGUGGGCACUCAGAUGCAUGCCCACAACCAUCAGUAACUCCAGAAGCCAAUGCUCUGUUUUGGCUCCAAGGGCAAUGAGCACGAAUGUGGCAGACAUAAUACAUGUAGGGAAAAUAUGCAUAUACCUAAAAUUAAAUACAUUUUGAAAAGUAAA